rnacentral:rRNA from 1 species
GGGUUGUGAGGUUAAGCGACUAAGCGUACACGGUGGAUGCCCUGGCAGUCAGAGGCGAUGAAGGACGUGCUAAUCUGCGAUAAGCGUCGGUAAGGUGAUAUGAACCGUUAUAACCGGCGAUUUCCGAAUGGGGAAACCCAGUGUGUUUCGACACACUAUCAUUAACUGAAUCCAUAGGUUAAUGAGGCGAACCGGGGGAACUGAAACAUCUAAGUACCCCGAGGAAAAGAAAUCAACCGAGAUUCCCCCAGUAGCGGCGAGCGAACGGGGAGCAGCCCAGAGCCUGAAUCAGUAUGUGUGUUAGUGGAAGCGUCUGGAAAGGCGCGCGAUACAGGGUGACAGCCCCGUACACAAAAAUGCACAUGCUGUGAGCUCGAUGAGUAGGGCGGGACACGUGGUAUCCUGUCUGAAUAUGGGGGGACCAUCCUCCAAGGCUAAAUACUCCUGACUGACCGAUAGUGAACCAGUACCGUGAGGGAAAGGCGAAAAGAACCCCGGCGAGGGGAGUGAAAAAGAACCUGAAACCGUGUACGUACAAGCAGUGGGAGCACGCUUAGGCGUGUGACUGCGUACCUUUUGUAUAAUGGGUCAGCGACUUAUAUUCUGUAGCAAGGUUAACCGAAUAGGGGAGCCGAAGGGAAACCGAGUCUUAACUGGGCGUUAAGUUGCAGGGUAUAGACCCGAAACCCGGUGAUCUAGCCAUGGGCAGGUUGAAGGUUGGGUAACACUAACUGGAGGACCGAACCGACUAAUGUUGAAAAAUUAGCGGAUGACUUGUGGCUGGGGGUGAAAGGCCAAUCAAACCGGGAGAUAGCUGGUUCUCCCCGAAAGCUAUUUAGGUAGCGCCUCGUGAAUUCAUCUCCGGGGGUAGAGCACUGUUUCGGCAAGGGGGUCAUCCCGACUUACCAACCCGAUGCAAACUGCGAAUACCGGAGAAUGUUAUCACGGGAGACACACGGCGGGUGCUAACGUCCGUCGUGAAGAGGGAAACAACCCAGACCGCCAGCUAAGGUCCCAAAGUCAUGGUUAAGUGGGAAACGAUGUGGGAAGGCCCAGACAGCCAGGAUGUUGGCUUAGAAGCAGCCAUCAUUUAAAGAAAGCGUAAUAGCUCACUGGUCGAGUCGGCCUGCGCGGAAGAUGUAACGGGGCUAAACCAUGCACCGAAGCUGCGGCAGCGACACUAUGUGUUGUUGGGUAGGGGAGCGUUCUGUAAGCCUGUGAAGGUGUACUGUGAGGUAUGCUGGAGGUAUCAGAAGUGCGAAUGCUGACAUAAGUAACGAUAAAGCGGGUGAAAAGCCCGCUCGCCGGAAGACCAAGGGUUCCUGUCCAACGUUAAUCGGGGCAGGGUGAGUCGACCCCUAAGGCGAGGCCGAAAGGCGUAGUCGAUGGGAAACAGGUUAAUAUUCCUGUACUUGGUGUUACUGCGAAGGGGGGACGGAGAAGGCUAUGUUGGCCGGGCGACGGUUGUCCCGGUUUAAGCGUGUAGGCUGGUUUUCCAGGCAAAUCCGGAAAAUCAAGGCUGAGGCGUGAUGACGAGGCACUACGGUGCUGAAGCAACAAAUGCCCUGCUUCCAGGAAAAGCCUCUAAGCAUCAGGUAACAUCAAAUCGUACCCCAAACCGACACAGGUGGUCAGGUAGAGAAUACCAAGGCGCUUGAGAGAACUCGGGUGAAGGAACUAGGCAAAAUGGUGCCGUAACUUCGGGAGAAGGCACGCUGAUAUGUAGGUGAAGUCCCUCGCGGAUGGAGCUGAAAUCAGUCGAAGAUACCAGCUGGCUGCAACUGUUUAUUAAAAACACAGCACUGUGCAAACACGAAAGUGGACGUAUACGGUGUGACGCCUGCCCGGUGCCGGAAGGUUAAUUGAUGGGGUUAGCGCAAGCGAAGCUCUUGAUCGAAGCCCCGGUAAACGGCGGCCGUAACUAUAACGGUCCUAAGGUAGCGAAAUUCCUUGUCGGGUAAGUUCCGACCUGCACGAAUGGCGUAAUGAUGGCCAGGCUGUCUCCACCCGAGACUCAGUGAAAUUGAACUCGCUGUGAAGAUGCAGUGUACCCGCGGCAAGACGGAAAGACCCCGUGAACCUUUACUAUAGCUUGACACUGAACAUUGAGCCUUGAUGUGUAGGAUAGGUGGGAGGCUUUGAAGUGUGGACGCCAGUCUGCAUGGAGCCGACCUUGAAAUACCACCCUUUAAUGUUUGAUGUUCUAACGUUGACCCGUGAUCCGGGUUGCGGACAGUGUCUGGUGGGUAGUUUGACUGGGGCGGUCUCCUCCUAAAGAGUAACGGAGGAGCACGAAGGUUGGCUAAUCCUGGUCGGACAUCAGGAGGUUAGUGCAAUGGCAUAAGCCAGCUUGACUGCGAGCGUGACGGCGCGAGCAGGUGCGAAAGCAGGUCAUAGUGAUCCGGUGGUUCUGAAUGGAAGGGCCAUCGCUCAACGGAUAAAAGGUACUCCGGGGAUAACAGGCUGAUACCGCCCAAGAGUUCAUAUCGACGGCGGUGUUUGGCACCUCGAUGUCGGCUCAUCACAUCCUGGGGCUGAAGUAGGUCCCAAGGGUAUGGCUGUUCGCCAUUUAAAGUGGUACGCGAGCUGGGUUUAGAACGUCGUGAGACAGUUCGGUCCCUAUCUGCCGUGGGCGCUGGAGAACUGAGGGGGGCUGCUCCUAGUACGAGAGGACCGGAGUGGACGCAUCACUGGUGUUCGGGUUGUCAUGCCAAUGGCACUGCCCGGUAGCUAAAUGCGGAAGAGAUAAGUGCUGAAAGCAUCUAAGCACGAAACUUGCCCCGAGAUGAGUUCUCCCUGACUCCUUGAGAGUCCUGAAGGAACGUUGAAGACGACGACGUUGAUAGGCCGGGUGUGUAAGCGCAGCGAUGCGUUGAGCUAACCGGUACUAAUGAACCGUGAGGCUUAACCUUACAACGCCGAAGCUGUU